GACGAACGCUGGCGGCGUGCUUAACACAUGCAAGUCGAACGGAAAGGCCCUGCCUUUGUGGGGUGCUCGAGUGGCGAACGGGUGAGUAACACGUGAGUAACCUGCCCUUGACUUUGGGACAACUUCAGGAAACUGGGGCUAAUACCGGAUAGGAGCUCCUGCUGCAUGGUGGGGGUUGGAAAGUUUCGGCGGUUGGGGAUGGACUCGCGGCUUAUCAGCUUGUUGGUGGGGUAGUGGCUUACCAAGGCUUCGACGGGUAGCCGGCCUGAGAGGGUGACCGGCCCCGUUGGGACUGCGAUACGACGCAGACGCCUAGGGGAGGCAACAGUGGGGAAUAUUGCACAGUAGGCGGGCGCCUGGUGCGACAGCGCCGCGUGCGGGAUGAAGGCCUUCGGGUAGUGAACCGCUUUCGCCUGUGACGAAGCGUGGGUGACGGUAAUGGGUAAAGAAGCACCGGCUAACUACGUG
rnacentral:rRNA from 1 species